rnacentral:rRNA from 1 species
GAUGAACGCUGGCGGCGUGCCUAACACAUGCAAGUCGAGCGUGAUUUAUGAGGACGAAACUUCGGUCUAGGAAUCAUAAUGAAAGCGGCGGACGGGUGAGUAACGCGUAGGCAACCUGCCCUUGACACAGGGAUAGCCUCGGGAAACCGGGAUUAAAACCUGAUGACGCCAAACAGUCACAUGGCUGUUUGGCCAAAGAUUUAUCGGUCAAGGAUGGGCCUGCGUCUGAUUAGUUAGUUGGUGGGGUAACGGCCUACCAAGACGACGAUCAGUAGCCGACCGGAGAGGGUGAUCGGCCACAUUGGAACUGAGACACGGUCCAAACUCCUACGGGAGGCAGCAGUGGGGAAUAUUGCACAAUGGGCGAAAGCCUGAUGCAGCAACGCCGCGUGGGCGAUGAAGGCCUUUGGGUCGUAAAGCUCUGUCCUUGGGGAAGAAACAAAUGACGGUACCCAAGGAGGAAGCCCCGGCUAACUACGUGCCAGCCGCCGCCGUAAGAC